rnacentral:rRNA from 1 species
CAAGUCGAACGCAGUAGCAAUACCGAGUGGCAGACGGGUGAGUAACAUGUGGGAAUCUGCCUUGUGGUUCAGGACAACAUUGGGAAACCGAUGCUAAUACUGGAUAAGCCCUUACGGGGAAAGUUUUAAUGCCAUAAGAUGAGCCCGCAUUUGAUUAGUUAGUUGGUGAGGUAAUGGCUCACCAAGACAAUGAUCAAUAGCUGAUCUGAGAGGAUGAUCAGCCACACUGGGACUGAGACACGGCCCAGACUCCUACGGGAGGCAGCAGUGGGGAAUCUUGCACAAUGGAGGAAACUCUGAUGCAGCGAUGCCGCGUGAGUGAAGAAGGCCUUUGGGUUGUAAAGCUCUUUUGUAGGGGAAGAUAAUGACUGUACCCUAAGAAUAAGGUCCGGCUAACUUCGUGCCAGCAGCCGCGGUAAUACGAAGGGACCUAGCGUAGUUCGGAAUUACUGGGCGUAAAGCGCGCGUAGGCCGUUGAGUUAGUUAAUUGUGAAAUCCCAAAGCUUAACUUUGGAACUGCAAUUAAAACUGCUCGACUAGAGUUUGAUAGAGGAAAGCGGAAUACAUAGUGUAGAGGUGAAAUUCGUAGAUAUUAUGUAGAACACCAGUUGCGAAGGCGGCUUUCUGGAUCAACACUGACGCUGAGGCGCGAAAGUAUGGGUAGCAAAGAGGAUUAGAUACCCUCGUAGUCCAUACCAUAAACGAUGAUUGCUAGAUGUUGGAAAUUUAUUUUCAGUAUCGCAGCUAACGCAUUAAGCAAUCCGCCUGGGGAGUACGACCGCAAGGUUAAAACUCAAAUGAAUUGACGGGGACCCGCACAAGCGGUGGAGCAUGUGGUUUAAUUCGAAGAUACGCGCAGAACCUUACCAACCCUUGACAUGUCUGUCGCGAGU